rnacentral:rRNA from 1 species
UACAGAGGGUGCAAGCGUUGCUCGGAAUUACUGGGCGUAAAGCGUGCGCAGGCGGUUUUUUAAGACAGGCGUGAAAUCCCCGGGCUUAACCUGGGAACUGCGCUUGUGACUGGAAGGCUAGAGUACGGCAGAGGGGGGUGGAAGUUCCACGUGUAGCAGUGAAAUGCGUAGAGAUGUGGAGGAACACCGAUGGCGAAGGCAGCCCCCUGGGCCGAUACUGACGCUCAUGCACGAAAGCGUGGGGAGCAAACAGGG